UUUUUUUUUCUUUUUUAGGGCCACACGUGCGGCAUACGGAGUUCCUGGGUUCGGGGUCUGAUCAGACGGCAGCUGCCGGCCUACGCCACAGUCACAGCAACACAGGAUCCGAGCCGCACCUGAGAAUAGCGCAGCUUGAGGCAACACCAGAUCCUUCACCCACUGAGCGAGUCAAGAGAUAUAAUUACUCAACUUCACAAUUAAGCUUCUUGUUAAUAAAUUAAGCACUUAAUACAAAAGGGAGGUACAGCUUUUGAAACCAUGCCAUUCUAGAAGAAGCGACAGACCGAUGGAGGAAAUCAAAGAAUGAUUUCAAUUUAAGAACAAAAAAUAAUCUCAUCUCACCUUUGGAGUAGAAACAACAGGAAAUUGUUUCUCAGAGAACCAACAAUUUUAGAGGAAAAACCCUCAAAUUUAAUUUUAAAUUAAAUCUCUUUCUUGGUAAUUGUUUUAGAAGUAAAAGAAAAACAUGUUAAAGAUUAGCUGAAGACAGAAAACUGAUCCAAAUGGAACAGUCAAUCAGCAGAACGCAGUUUCUGCAAGAAAAUUUCACAUAAAAUGCUUUGAUUCCUAUUCCCCAUCAAUGCACUUAGGAGAAAGUCACGUAGCUUUACGGUAUCACUAAACUAACACCAUCAGCUCUUUUACUUGAAUGUAUUGCCAACGAGACAUAAUUUCCACGAUAUUCUAUCUCAUUACAGAAUUACUUGUUCUAAGACAAAUAUCAGUUUUUUUUUCCCUCUGGAGCAAGAAUUGCCUUGUUGGCUGCUCUCAACAAGCACAUAUCAAGCAAAACACACAGAGCCCAAAUGAAUCCUCACAUUCGAGUAUUUAAAUUUUAACAAAACUUGCCAUCACCAAUUAUUUAAGAGAAAAAACCCUCCUGCCAGGGUGCACGUUCCAUUAAAAUUUCAUCAGUGCUUAGGUUUCCGUGUUUUCGUAUGCGACCCCAAUAAGGUCUUUUUCAUUGAUUAUAAAACCGUGUUUCCAAAAAGCCAAGAUCUACAACAUCGAAUGCAGAAUAAACUACUGAAAACUGCCCGUAAAUCCGUUUGUUUGGGACAAUGACAAAGUUCAGGAGGUGGACGGCAGUGACGGCCGGACGGCAGCGUGAAGGCGCUAACGCCACUGGACCAUACGUCACUCUGGAACGUUACGUUUCCCCAGAGUAAAACCCUCGCCCAUCGACCAAGCUACCGCGUGUCCACCCCGUGAGUCAAUGCAGCCUCGUGACGCCAAAACCAGGCUGACGCAUCUGCUGCCUAACAUUCUCCUCACCCGGCCUCAUGACUUUAAAACGAAUGUGGGAGUUCCCGUCGUGGCGCAGGGGUUAACGAACCCGACUAGGAACCAUGAGGUGCGGGUUCGGUCCCUGCCCUUGCUCAGUGGGUUAACGAUCUGGCGUUGCCGUGAGCUGUGGUGUAGGCUGCAGCUCCGAUCCCAUGUUGCUGUGGCUGUGGUGUAGGCCGGUAGCUACAGCUACGAUUCGACCCCUAGCCUGGGAACCUCCAUAUGCCGCGGGAGCGGCCCAAGAAAUAGCACAAAAAAAGACAAAAAAUAAAUAAAUAAAAUAAAACGAAUGUGAACCUUUAUCAAAGCCGACAUCCACAACACAGCCCGAUCUUAAGCCAUAACAUUUGCGGGGCGGCCACAGGCUCCUGUGAGCUCAAGUGUCACGUGGCAUAUGGUCCCUGACCCUCCCAGCCCCUUGGGCCCUGCUGCCCUGGGCUGGCCUCUGGCCUCCAUCCCACACCCCCCAAGCCUGGACACCUCCUGUCCUCCCCCACCCCCUUUCCCAUCUCAUUUCUGUCCGCAGCCGUUCCUAAACCCCCGCAUACUGUGCACUUACGUAGUUUGUCAUCCGCCAACAGAACGCAGUCCCCAGGGGCGCGGGGGCAGGGGUGCCUAUGUGGCCCCCAGAGGCCUCGGUGUGUAAAACAGCAAGUGUUCAUACCGCCGGCCAGCGUCUGACGUUGAGUGCCAUACAUUCAAGCAUCACAUUUUUCUUGCCCGUAAUCGUACAUUUGCUUGCCUAAGAAGCCAGGAGCUUACGUAUUUCAUUCCCUUUUUACAUCAGAAAAACAUAACAUGAGUUAAGCAACAUCAGAAAUGCGGCCAAACUCAAUCCACCUGACAGUCACCUCAACACACACGCCGCAGUCAGAUGUCCGCCCGAGCUGAAAAAAGUGCAUGUACACACUUCACGGCCUCGACUGUUUAAUGGUUUGUCUGUGUUUAUCCACAUCAAAACACCUGUUUCCACACACUCUAAAGAGAAAAGGUCAUUUAAGCUGUCCCCCAUGCACACAACUUUACCUGCAAGUGACAGGUAAAUCCAGGUCUGACUUCCCCUCUGAUUACGCAUCCUCCCACCAUGUGUUCCCGGAGCAGCUUUAACGCCACGAUUUUAAAGCUCAUGUUUUGCUGGGCAGUCCCGAGACCCUCCUAGAACCCCAGGGAAAUCCAGGUGACUCCCCAGCAGCCCAACUUCUCUGUCCCCAAUCCUUUGCUGAAAAUAGGCUGGAGGAAAUCCGCUUUUCGCUGAAGGAGGGAGAUUACGUGAGGGCCGGGGUGGCCACCUCCUUCCCAGCAGGUCUGAGCCGCCCGGUGUGGGAGCUCGAGGGCGCGGGAAGGCACGCGAGGCCGGGUCCCCCGACUCCCGACGGGAACUCGAGAUCUGCAGGAAGCAGAGCCCGCACGGGCAGCUCAGACAGACGGUGCGGGAGCUGGGAGCCCCGCCGGGGCCUGGGCUUCAAGUACUGUCACAGCAUCGGACGGGGUCAGUGACCAGUGUCCCCGCUGUCGGCAGAGGCCACGAGCUCCCAGUCACGCGAGGAGCGUGGCUUCAGGAUGACAUUCUAACGGAAGACUGAGCUGUGGUGACAGAGACGCCUCUGACGGAAAGCAGGCAGCAGGUGGCGGGGGACUCACAGGUCACCGUGAAAGCCUCCCGGCCAUGCAGGUGACCCUGUGACACUGCCUCUAGACCCGCAGAGAAAACACGUCCCCGUCACCCCCAGGGGCGCCUCAUGGUCACCUUCCAACCCUCACUUUCUGAUUCUGCCCAGAGGGCACCCUGCACCAAGCAGGCCCACAGCACUGAGGCCCUUAGACCCAAUCCCACGACCGGGGAGCCGGCGGCGACACGGCGGCCUCCCAGCCUCCGAGCGGGCACAUCCGUCCAAUCCCAUGACAGGGCCAGCGCCGUGCCCGUGCCAUCCAGGGGCCAGACGCUGUGGAUUUAGGCUGUAACCCAAAACGCCCAACAGAGCCUUGGAGCCUUGCCUUAACACUAACCCCCGGGUCCCUCCACAGGGGGCCAAAGGGGAGCAGCACAAGCGCGCAAACGCAGCCUCGGACCUGCUGCAGCGCGGCCUCGGUGCAUCACUUCGCACAAGGGCCGGGUCGCUUACAUCUGCGUCUCCUCUAACCCAGUUAUGUCACCCGUGCCCACGGAACGCUGGUUUCAUCUGUCUCUCCGCACUUGCGGAGCAUUUGUUUCUGUAUCCGUUGGAUAACACGGUCUUACUGUCACCCGUGCCCACGGAACGCUGGUUUCAUCUGUCUCUCCGCACUUGCGGAGCAUGUUUCUGUAUUCGUUCAAUAAUACGGUCAGCCCGUGUAGGACAUCUUCUCAAACUGCCUCCUCUGACCCCAGCAGGACCUGCUGUAGUAGCACAGAGACACGGACUGAAUCGAGUCCCGGGAAUCGCGCAGAGUCCCCUCCCCCGCCCCGCCGGGACUGUAUCUGCAGGUGGGGAUUCGGGAGGGUCAUUCCGAUUCCAGGGGGUCCUGAGGGUGGAGUCGUAACCUGGCAGCCUCACAGGGAGAGGUGCCGGGUGACAGCACGGCAGCCAACUCACAGGAGGUUGGGAUCCACGCAGACACAGACGCACAUAAACCAGACAAGCGGCAAGGACCUACUGCGGGCACCGGACCUGGACUCAGUCUCUGGUCCUGACCCAGAGCGGAAAAGGAUGGGAAAGAGGAUGGAUCACAGGCGCACACACAGGCUGCACGCCCGACACGAACACAACGUGGUAAACGGCUCGACUCCAAGAAAACACGGAAGGAAGAGCGCGUGCGGCCUGCCCCGCGCUCCCCGCUCCGGGCGCAAAGUCGCCAGGAAAGGCCACCCCGAAUCAAACCUGGUCUCUCCCCCAAACCCGACUGGACAGGAUGCGGAAGCAGGUGCCCGAGGCUACACGUGCGGAUGAGUUCACCAGCUCCAGGAACGGGGCAGCGGGUUUCAAGGAAGUGGUGGCCGCAGGGAGCAGAGUGAGAAGGGGCAUCUGUAGACUCCCACGGCCGCAGAGGAGCCCAGGACAGGGUCAGAGGCGGGCAGAGGGCUCGGCUGCAGGCGGCAGACCAGACCACCGCCCCCCAGGGCAGGAAUGACCCUCACAGGCUGUCGCAAAAGUUACGUGAGAUGGAGAGAGCCCACCACGUCAGACAUGAAGAAGGGCAAGGCCCCUUGUCCCCUAGGAGGCCCAGGGACCAGAGAUGCUCAGAGCGGCCCUCUCUCCCCUCCCUUUCCUGGGCACGCUGGGUGGUUAGUAGACAGAGGAGGGUCCUCUGCCAGGCUGCCCAUCGUCCUGCCUGCUGAUGGCAUCAUUACCGACAACCUCUGGACACACAGUCUUUCACGAGCGACAAACCUCUCGAAAUUCUUGUCUCUUCUAAGCCAGAAAAAGUGAGCUCACUCUCAUUCUCCUUCUGAGCCGAUUAAAAAAAAAAAAAAAAUUACCUGUCACAAGAUACACAAGAGAUUGACAGUCCAUUCCAGGGACGUUUUCACAGCCCUUUAUACGGCAAAAUGCCAGUAGUACCUGGGCUCUGGGGGUUCCGUGAAUCCCCCAGGAGCCCAGCUGGACGGGAGGCAGGACCGCCAGGCAGGAUUCAGUCAGUCCCUGCUGGUACCUCUGGCCUCUGCCCACCACGGAAGCCGUGAAACAGGCACUGGUGUGAGCACAGAGGAAGCCAAGUGAAUGGAGGUUAAAACCCUUCCUGGAGUUCCCUUGUGGCUCAGUGGGUUAAGGAUCUGGUACCGUCCCUGCAGCGGCUCAGGUGGCUGCUGGGGCGUGGGUUCGGUCCCUGGCUUGGGAACUUCCACAUGCCUCAGGCACCGCCAAAAAGCCCCUAAAACCCUUCUCGCCAGCGGCACAGCCCACCUUUGGGGAAGAUGUUUACCCGCCAACGCACACAAGAGACUGUGCCAGUUUUCUCAAGGGACCAGCAACCCCGGCAGGGCAGCCAGUGGGGAGUGGGGCAGAUGUUACAAGAAGCCCCCGGAAAGGGACUCUGACUGCAGAGAUGACAAACCCUCUCUCAGAGCUCCCAGGAAGCGCUAUGACUCAGAGACCUGUAGGAAAAUCAGAACCACAGCAAAAUGGAAAACGCACGGCCCACAGAAACCGGGAGGGGGGCAGUGGUUACACAUUUGCAGAGUAAGAAUUGG
ensembl:lncRNA